UUAGGCGUAUAUAAUUUGUGGAUGCAUGUUUGUGUGUAAGCCUGCAGUGUGUAUCUGUCCAGCGGCCUUGCUGUUCUUGCCAGUCAGUCCAAAGUCAAAAACAACAGGUGUGUGUCCAUGAGAGACAAGAAUGGAGUUUGUUGUGUCUUCGUCAUACUGUCCCUCGGAAGAGUCUCCAAGCCAGGGAAACAAUCCAAGGCAGACAGUCCGAUGUGAUCCACAGUUCUUCCCGCAUCCUCCAAUCAUUUGGGCUACUUUGAAGACUGCCAGCAACUUCCAGUUUGUGGACAAACCAAAGCAAGGCUUACUCCAAUCAGCAGAAGUCCUGUUGUCAUCAUUCCAAAUAAGUAGACAUCUUCACCUCCACUGGAAGGUCGGCAGGAACGCGUCACUCCUUCUUCUCCCAAGAGUCUGCGGUCUGUCCAGCAACAAGCGCUCCGUCACCACAAGCAGGUUCCCCCAAACCAAAGAUCUUGUCAAAUUGGUUGAGGCCAGUUAAAUAGUUCCAAUGUUUAGAUUUGGAGAGCAGAGCAAGAAGAAAGUAAAGAGAAAGAAGCAAGCAGGAGAGGGAAGAGGUUGAAAGCCCGAGAGAAAGGAUGAAGCUUAUUGUACCAUAUGUCCCGGCAAGAAAUCUGCCUUCAAAGGACUCCGGCUUAUUAGUGAUUCCCAAAGCCCAAAAAAAGUCUGCGGGCUAUAGAGCGUUUUCCGUUCGGGCUCCAGUACUCUGGAAUGCCCUCCCGGUAACAGUUCGCGAUGCCACCUCAGUAGAAGCAUUUAAGUCUCACCUUAAAACUCAUUUGUAUACUCUAGCCUUUAAAUAGACUCCCUUUUUAGACCAGUUGAUCUGCCGUUUCUUUUCUUUUUCUUCUAUGUCCCACUCUCCCGUGUGGAGGGGGUCCGGUCCGAUCCGGUGGCCAUGUACUGCUCGCCUGUGUAUCGGCUGGGGACAUCUCUGCGCUGCUGGUCCGCCUACGCUUGGGAUGGUUUCCUGCUGGCUCCGCUGUGAACGGGACUCUCGCUGCUGUGUUGGAUCCUCUUUGGACUGGACUCUCGCGACUGUGUUGGAUCCAUUGUGGAUUGAACUUUCACAGUAUCAUGUUAGACCCGCUCGACAUCCAUUGCUUUCCUCCUCUCCAAGGUUCUCAUAGUCAUCAUUGUCACCGACGUCCCACUGGGUGUGAGUUUUCCUUGCCCUUAUGUGGGCCUACCGAGGAUGUCGUAGUGGUUUGUGCAGCCCUUUGAGACACUAGUGAUUUAGGGCUAUAUAAGUAAACAUUGAUUGAUUGAUUGAAGGUGAGCAAAAUCUUUGCAUUUCAACUUUUUCCCUAAAAUACACAAUGAGGCUUUAAAAAAGGGGCUCUGACUCUCCGUGGCAAAAUAACAACAAAGCAAAAGGCAGCAGAAAAUAGCAUCUGAGAUCAUUAUUGUGAUGAAUACUUGUUGACUUCAGUGAGGACGACCUUCAGAGUCCUUCUGUGACCUCGCUCUCCUUUACACUUCCUGUUAUUUUACUCAAUUAUAAACUUUGACCAAAUACUAUUAAAAUGUAUGUCAAUAAAGCAAAUGCAAACUAUGAAACAAAUGAGUAAAAUACUGAAAAGUACAGUUAGGCUCUCGUUAGUCAAAUGACAUGAAAAAUGACUUUAAUAAAGUGUUCUGCCCUCACUGUAGGUGUUGGUGUUAUACAGCCUGGCAGACAGAUAACAAACUAUCCAAGACGUCUAUUAAAGUUCCAAAGAAGAUGAAUCCAUCCAGGCUCUUUAUUAGGAACCGAUGUCCCUUUGGGACAGAGGACACUAUUGAAUUUCUAAGGUUUUAUUAUUAUUAUUAUUAUUUAUUAUUAUACCCCCUUAACAUGCUUCAAAACUCACCAAAUUUAACACACACAUCAGGACUGGCGAAAAUUGCGAUAUAAUCAAAAACUCAAAACUGCGCUCUAGCGCCCCCUAGGAAAAAACACAGACAAAACUGCUUGUAACUUCCGUUAGAAAUGUCAUAGAGACAUGAAACAAAAACCUCUUUGUAGGUCUGACCUAGACCUAGAUUUCAUACAAUGGCCUCCUUCAGCAAAAAUCAACAGGAAGUUUGCAAAAACCCCUUCAAAACAAAAGUUCCCUAAAAAAAUGUAAUUUUUGCCUCUUUGAGCUGUAAUUUGACCCGCUUAAAAUGCUUCAAAACUCACCAAACUUGACACACACAUCAGGACUGGUGAAAAUUGCAUUCUUAUAAAAAAAAAAACAA